AAGUCGUAACAAGGUUUCCGUAGGUGAACCUGCGGAAGGAUCAUUAACACGUUAUCCACGUAUCAACCAAUGCGAACCGUUUUCAACUCUCUCCUCCGGGGAAUGAAUUGAGCCUGUAAAGUUGUUGAAUGGGAUGUUCUGCAUCAGACUUUACUCGCCACUGACUUAGUGUAGAAAUACAUUUGGGUCGACAAUUGUAUCUUUUAGGAGGACAAACUCUCACUGUUCAGUCUCCAUUCAUUGACUCUUUCAGUGGGAACCUAUUUUCACAUAUUUCACCACCUUUUUGCUAGUUGACUUUUCUAUGUUGUACCUUUGUUUCGGCAAUGGUGCACACGUUUAAUUAUUUGAACGUUAAAAAUACAACUCUUAGCAAUGGAUAUCUUGGUUCUC
rnacentral:misc_RNA from 1 species